rnacentral:rRNA from 1 species
UACGAAGGGGGCUAGCGUUGCUCGGAAUCACUGGGCGUAAAGCGCACGUAGGCGGAUUGUUAAGUCAGGGGUGAAAUCCUGGAGCUCAACUCCAGAACUGCCUUUGAUACUGGCGAUCUCGAGUCCGGGAGAGGUGAGUGGAACUGCGAGUGUAGAGGUGAAAUUCGUAGAUAUUCGCAAGAACACCAGUGGCGAAGGCGGACUCACUGGCCCGGUACUGACGCUGAGGUGCGGAAAGCGUG